AUGGCCUGGGCUCCGCUCUUCCUCACCCUCUUUGCUCACUGCACAGGGUCUUGGGCUGAGGUUGUGUUCACUCAGCCCCAAUCUGUGUCAGGGUCUCUGGGGCAGACAGUCACCAUCUCCUGCACCCGCAGCAGUGGCAGCAUUGAUGAUAGAUAUGUGUACUGGUACCAGCAGCGCCCGGGCAGUGCCCCCACCACUGUGAUUUAUGAGGAUAACCAAAGACCCUCAGGUGUUCCUGAUCGGUUCUCUGGCUCCGUCGACAGCUCCUCCAAUGUUGCCUCCUUGACCGUCUCUGGGCUGCAGCCUGAGGACGAGGCCGACUACUACUGUCAGUCUUAUGAUGGCAACAACAAUCACACAGUGCACCAGAGCCAUGGGGAACUGGAAAUUCACUCAGGGCCUCCAGGUUCAGCUAUCAGUGUGUCUAUUGGACCGUGUUUGUGCAACUACGCUGACCUCCCAGUAGUAGCCAGGAAUCAUCAUGGGCCAGGCCACCUCCACCUACUGGAUCAGCUCAUCUCCUCCUCCCUCUUCUGA